UUGCUGGCGACCGGCGCACGGGUGAGUAACACGUAUCCAACCUGCCCUUUACUCGGGGAUAGCCUUUCGAAAGAAAGAUUAAUACCCGAUAGCAUAAUGAUUCCGCAUGGUUUCAUUAUUAAAGGAUUCCGGUAAAGGAUGGGGAUGCGUUCCAUUAGGUUGUUGGUGAGGUAACGGCCCACCAAGCCUUCGAUGGAUAGGGGUUCUGAGAGGAAGGUCCCCCACAUUGGAACUGAGACACGGUCCAAACUCCUACGGGAGGCAGCAGUGAGGAAUAUUGGUCAAUGGGCGCUAGCCUGAACCAGCCAAGUAGCGUGAAGGAUGAAGGCUCUAUGGGUCGUAAACUUCUUUUAUAUAAGAAUAAAGUGCAGUAUGUAUACUGUUUUGUAUGUAUUAUAUGAAUAAGGAUCGGCUAACUCCGUGCCAGCAGCCGCGGUAAUACGGAGGAUCCGAGCGUUAUCCGGAUUUAUUGGGUUUAAAGGGAGCGUAGGUGGACUGGUAAGUCAGUUGUGAAAGUUUGCGGCUCAACCGUAAAAUUGCAGUUGAUACUGUCAGCCUUGAGUACAGUAGAGGUGGGCGGAAUUCGUGGUGUAGCGGUGAAAUGCUUAGAUAUCACGAAGAACUCCGAUUGCGAAGGC
rnacentral:rRNA from 1 species